GACCGGAGUGGACGCACCACUGGUGUUCCGGUUGUGUCGCCAGACGCAUUGCCGGGUAGCUAAGUGCGGAAGAGAUAAGUGCUGAAAGCAUCUAAGCACGAAACUUGCCAAGAGAUGAGUUCUCCCAGGUUAUAAACCUGUAAGGGUUGUUUAAGACUAAGACGUAGAUAGGCAGGGUGUGUAAGUGAUGUGAGUCAUUGAGCUAACCUGUACUAAUUGCCCGAGAGGCUUAACUAUACAACGCUCAAG
rnacentral:rRNA from 1 species